rnacentral:rRNA from 1 species
GACGAACGCUGGCGGCGUGCUUAACACAUGCAAGUCGAACGGAAAGGCCUCUUUCGGGGGGUACUCGAGUGGCGAACGGGUGAGCAACACGUGAGUAACCUGCCCUUGACUUUGGGAUAACUUCAGGAAACUGGGGCUAAUACCGGAUAGGAGCUCCUGCCGCAUGGUGGGGGCUGGAAAGUUUCGGCGGUUGGGGAUGGACUGGCGGCGUAUCAGCUUGUUGGUGGGGUAGUGGCUUACCAAGGCUUUGACGGGUAGCCGGCCAGAGAGGGUGAGCGGCCACAUUGGGACUGAGAUACGGCCCAGAUUCCUACGGGAGGCAGAAGGGGGGAAGAUUGCACAAUGGGUGGAAGCCUGAUGCAGCAACGCCGUGGGCGGGAUGACGGCCUUCGGGUUGUAAACCGCUUUCGCUCAUGACGAAGCUUUGUGUGACGGUAGUGGGUAAAGAAGCACCGGCUAACUACGUG